rnacentral:rRNA from 2 species
UUCCGGUUGAUCCUGCCGGACCUGACUGCUAUCGGAUUGAUACUAAGCCAUGCGAGUCAUUGUAGCAAUACAAGGCAGACGGCUCAGUAACGCGUAGUCAACCUACCCUAUGGACGGGAAUAACCUCGGGAAACUGAGAAUAAUGCCCGAUAGAACAUUAUGCCUGGAAUGGUUUAUGUUCCAAAUGAUUUAUCGCCGUAGGAUGGGACUGCGGCCUAUCAGUUUGUUGGUGAGGUAAUGGCCCACCAAGACUAUUACAGGUACGGGCUCUGAGAGGAGUGGCCCGGAGAUGGGUACUGAGACACGGACCCAGGCCCUAUGGGGCGCAGCAGGCGAGAAAACUUUGCAAUGUGCGAAAGCACGACAAGGUUAAUCCGAGUGGUUUCUGCUAAAGGAACCUUUUGACAGUCCUAGAAACACUGUUGAAUAAGGGGUGGGCAAGUUCUGGUGUCAGCCGCCGCGGUAAAACCAGCACCUCAAGUGGUCAGGAUGAUUAUUGGGCCUAAAGCAUCCGUAGCCGGCUCUGUAAGUUUUCGGUUAAAUCUAUACGCUCAACGUAUAGGCUGCCGGGAAUACUGCAGAGCUAGGGAGUGGGAGAGGUAGACGGUACUCGGUAGGAAGGGGUAAAAUCCUUUGAUCUAUUGAUGACCACCUGUGGCGAAGGCGGUCUACCAGAACACGUCCGACGGUGAGGGAUGAAAGCUGGGGGAGCAAACCGGAUUAGAUACCCGGGUAGUCCCAGCUGUAAACUAUGCAAACUCAGUGAUGCAUUGGCUUGUGGCCAAUGCAGUGCUGCAGGGAAGCCGUUAAGUUUGCCGCCUGGGAAGUACGUACGCAAGUAUGAAACUUAAAGGAAUUGGCGGGGGAGCACCACAAGGGGUGAAGCCUGCGGUUCAAUUGGAGUCAACGCCGGA